AUAUAAGCGACGCGGCAGUCAUUUUAGUUCUCUUUGUUCCUGGGUUGCCAAGCGAGCAACAUCUCUCUAUAGAACCUGCGCUGCUAAAAAACCACUGAAAAAACAACAAUGUACGUUAAUGUCCCAAGGACUUAUCAGAGCAGACAGAAAGUUUCCUGUUAACCUUAUUGAAGAACAUUUGUGCAGGAAGUCUACAAGACUGGGGACAGAAAGCAAUAAUUUGCACUUAACUACCAGGCCAGUGUCUUACUUUGCCUUCAUGAAUUGAACUGAGCAACAGAUUCCAGACCUCCAUGAGGAUAAAUGGGACCGAUAGUGAUACUCUCUGCACUUAUGAAGGUUAUGUCCUUGGAGACGCUAUUCUAGGCUACCGAUGCUAUGCAGUGUUCCGGUUCCAGGACUGAAUCUAGAUACAAGUAAAAAUCCAUUCUUCCUGUUGCUCAUUCUUCAUCAGUUGGUUCCUACUACUGGAUGAGUUGACUUGCAUGUUCUGGACUUCCUUUUUCUUAUUUCUCUGGCUG